rnacentral:rRNA from 1 species
GUUGUAUAGUCAAGUAAUUAAGUGCAUGUGGUGGAUGCCUUGGCAGUCAGAGGCGAUGAAAGACGUGAUAGCCUGCGAAAAGCUCCGGGGAGGCGGCAAAUAUCCUUUGAUCCGGAGAUGUCUGAAUGGGGGAACCCACCUACUUUAAGGUAGGUAUUGCAACAUGAAUACAUAGUGUUGCAAGGCGAACGAGGGGAAGUGAAACAUCUCAGUACCCUUAGGAAAAGAAAUCAAUUGAGAUUCCCUCAGUAGCGGCGAGCGAACGGGGAUCAGCCCAUUAAGUUAUGUGUGUUUUAGUGGAACGCUCUGGGAAGUGCGAACGUAGAGGGUGAUAUUCCCGUACACGAAAGGGCACACAUAAUGAUGACGAGUAGGGCGAGGCACGUGAAACCUUGUCUGAAUAUGGGGGACCAUCCUCCAAGGCUAAAUACUCCUGACUGACCGAUAGUGAACCAGUACCGUGAGGGAAAGG